UGUCAAUUGCUUAGGGUGUAUUUGGUUACAUUGUAGCUUUCUUGUUUUUGGUUUAACAAAAACAACAAACUGUUUCCUACUUUUUUUUUUUUAAGAAAACCACUGCAAAUCUUCUCUUUCCUCCAUUCUUGUUUAUUCUGCUUGCCUUCUAUCUACUGACAUUAAAUCAACACCUUAUCAUUUUUUAUUCAUUUUUUAACCUCUUUCACUUCAUCUUUUCACAACAAAUUAAAGCCACUCAAAACUAAAAAAUAAAAAUUAAUCCAACUAUUUCCCAAAAUGUUCAGACGUCAUGAAUCAAAUGCUCCAGUAUGGAAAUGAGAUA
rnacentral:misc_RNA from 1 species